rnacentral:rRNA from 1 species
AUUGAACGCUAGCGGCAUGCUUUACACAUGCAAGUCGAACGAGUGGCGGACGGGUGAGUAAUAUAUCGGAACGUGCGCAGUAGCGGGGGAUAACUACUCGAAAGUGUGGCUAAUACCGCAUACUAUUGGAGCGGCCGAUAUGGGAUUCGCUGAUUUGUGGGGUAAAGGCUCACCAAGGCCACGAUCCGUAGCUGGUCUGAGAGGACGACCAGCCACACUGGGACUGAGACACGGCCCAGACUCCUACGGGAGGCAGCAGUGGGGAAUUUUGGACAAUGGGGGAAACCCUGAUCCAGCCAUGCCGCGUGUAUGAGAAGGCCUUCGGGUUGUAAAGUACUUUUGGCGGAGAAGCGGUAUCUGCAGAAGAAGCACCGGCUAACUACGUGCCAGCAGCCGCGGUAAUUC